rnacentral:ribozyme from 1 species
UGCCCAGCAACUCCUAUCCCUACCUCCUCGUGGUAUUGGCCGGGGUACGAGUUUAGUUUAGAGG